rnacentral:lncRNA from 1 species
ACAGGUACGUGGGCGGGCGGAUCGUGGUGGCUGCGCUUGCGAGGACCCUGAGGUAGAUUGGGUGGUUUCAACAGGAACGCAUCCACUGUCUGAGAGUUUAAACUUGAUUUUGUGAGGGGACGAACAGCGUGACAAUUAAAAGAAGAUCUGGGAAUCGAAUACCCAUCUCGAGUUCUGGAUAUGUGCUCUGAGAAGGUGCCCAUGUCACCGACCACACUGGAGGCCAAUGCAGAUACUGGGGGAAGGUUCCAUGGUAGCUAAGUGUGGACAAGCUAAUCACUGAAGUUCCCUGAUGCAGAGUUGAUAAUCUCUCUAGAGUUGGAUGAAAGACUGUGCUGCCUUGAAGCUCUGAGAGAUGCCAUGCCAAUUCAAGGCAGGGUCUUUAUUGUUGAAACUCUUGCGUAAUGACAUCUUUAUUCAGGUGAAAAUACAGGAUGAAUUUCAACUAUAUGAUAUUGUUUAUGUUCCUCAGACAUGUUAUUUGUCUUUACAAAGAUUGGUUUCAAUAAACUGUGUGACUGAUAUUAAAUAAACAUGGAAUUUUACACAUUC